AUGGGUCUCUUUUCUGCUUUAGGUGUUCCUUCUAGAACAACAACAAUGUAUUCUCUCUUAAAAUCUUCUGCCAGUGUCUCCACAGAAGAUGCAGGUGCUUCCUCCACCAUAGGGCUGGCUGCUUCUGCUGCAGGGGUGACUGUGACUUCUUCCACACCUGUGAUGGUGACAGGUUCUUCAGCAAACACUGAGGCACUGUCAGGUUCUACCAGUGUCGGUGUCUCUGAUACAGCCUCCGCUGAUGAGGAGUUUUUGUCAGCAACUGAUACACCAUCUACUGGUACCACAUCCUUUUCAACCACUGGUGCAGGGGCUUCGUCCGCUGGAGCAGCUUCCACUGGAGCAGGGGCUUCCUCCGCUGGAGCAGCUUCCACUGGUGCAGGGGCUUCCUCCACUGGAGCAGCUUCCACUGGUGCAGGGGCUUCCUCCACUGGAGCAGCUUCCACUGGUGCAGGGGCUUCCUCCGCUGGAGUGGGGGCUUCUCCUGCUGGUGCAGAGGCUUCCUCCGCUGGUGAAGGGGCUUCAUCCGCUGGAGCAGCUUCCACUGUUGCAGGGGCUUCCUCCGCUGGAGUGGGGGCUUCUGCUGGUGCAGAGGCUUCCACCGCUGGUGAAGGGGCUUCGUCCGCUGGAGCAGCUUCCACUGGUGCAGGGGCUUCUUCUGCUGGUGAAGGGGCUUCCUCCGCUGGAGCAGCUUCCACUGGUGCAGGGGCUUCGUCCGCUGGAGCGGCUUCCAUUGGAGCAGCUUCCACUGAUGCAGGGGCUUUGUCCACUGGAGCAGCUUCCACUGAUGCAGGGGCUUCCUCCACUGGAGUCGGGGCUUCCCCUGCUGGUCCAGCCUCCGCUGGUGCAGGGGCUUCCUCCGCUGGCGCAGCCUCUGCUGGAGCAGGUGCCUCUUCCACUUGUGCAAUUUCCACUGGUACUAGACCCUCUUCUGCUGUCUUAGUAGCCUUUACCAUUGGAGUAAUUUCUUCAACAGACUUUGCCUCUAGUGGAGACUCUUCUUUGGAUGUCAGCUCUUGGACAUCUUCAACAGCAGGGCCCAACUCUUCCUUUAGUUCAACCAUCUUCUGUACCUCUAGAACAGAGGCAGCUGCCAGCAGCACUGCAACACAAAAAUCCAGCUAUCCAAACAUGAUGCUCAAGUUAUAUUUUCCCACAUUUAUUUCAUAUAACCUGAGGUGA
rnacentral:lncRNA from 1 species